CUUCUCUCCAAUAAAAGGGUUCAACACGUGCUCCUUCCUCUCUUUCUUGCCUGCCCUGCCCCCUUUGUGUGAGCUGCUGCUGAGAAGCGGUCACUGAACCCAAAGGAAAGCUUGAGACAGGCUCUUGCUAUGCUGCCUAGGCUGAUCUCAAACGUCUAGACUCAAGCAAUCCUACUGAGCAGCUGGAACUACAGAAAAAAACAUCAAACACAUACCCAUUUUUGGAAGAAGUUCUUUAUCAGCUCCCUUGAAGAAGCACACAUAGAUCACUAAUCCUCUCUGAACCUAUAAGAAAUCAUCACAGAAAGCUCAGAUUAGAAAGAAGUCUAUACAGAGCUGUAGAGCCGCUGAGGACAUGGCAAGACAUCACAGGAGAAUGUCUUCUGGGCUUCUAGCCUUGGUGAAAAUGUCCCUAUAAGCCUAAUGGGGAACUGCAGGAAGGGGUAGACUACUGCCUGCAUUCCUGCAUGGGAUCAUGCAGACUUGAACGAAGUCCUGAAGGAGACCUCUAAGAACCUAUUUCUUAAGGCUCUCCUGGAAUCUUCUAGAUUGUUGGUGAAAGGACUUAGAAUCAGAUUCGAUAUGGUACAGAAGAAAUAAAAAUGAACUUUUAAAAAUUGUCUGUGAGUCUUAUAACUAAGUAAGACUUAUAACUAAAACUUACUCCAAAUGAGCAUAAAUGAAUAAUAGAGAUUUCGAUAAUGAAUUGCUUAAAUACACCAAAAUCUUUAAUUGUAUUUGCUGGAGAGGGAAAAAGGAGAGCAUUAUCAUCAGAUGGUAGCUCCCUGAUUGCUCUUUUCGGCAAGGGAAGCAAAAGAAAUAUUGUAGGUCCUCAAUGUGUUUGAGUCAGGUCAUUCUAAAGAACCCACAAAUGGAAAAGUCCAACUCCAGAAUUAACUAAUAACUGCAUUCUUGUAUUCAUCCAACUGUUAAUAAACAUUCAGUCAUCAUGCCAGACCAUCAUGGAGGUACGUGAGGAAU